rnacentral:rRNA from 1 species
GACGAACGCUGGCGGCGUGCUUAACACAUGCAAGUCGAACGGAAAGGCCCUGCUUUUGUGGGGUGCUCGAGUGGCGAACGGGUGAGUAACACGUGAGUAACCUGCCCUUGACUUUGGGAUAACUUCAGGAAACUGGGGCUAAUACCGGAUAGGAGCUCCUGCUGCAUGGUGGGGGUUGGAAAGUUUCGGCGGUUGGGGAUGGACUCGCGGCUUAUCAGCUUGUUGGUGGGGUAGUGGCUUACCAAGGCUUUGACGGGUAGCCGGCCUGAGAGGGUGACCGGCCACAUUGGGACUGAGAUACGGCCCAGACUCCUACGGGAGGCAGCAGUGGGGAAUAUUGCACAAUGGGCGGAAGCCUGAUGCAGCAACGCCGCGUGCGGGAUGACGGCCUUCGGGUUGUAAACCGCUUUCGCCUGUGACGAAGCGUGAGUGACGGUAAUGGGUAAAGAAGCACCGGCUAACUACGUGCCAGCAGCCGCGGUGAUACGUAGGGUGCGAGCGUUGUCCGGAUUUAUUGGGCGUAAAGGGCUCGUAGGUGGUUGAUCGCGUCGGAAGUGUAAUCUUGGGGCUUAACCCUGAGCGUGCUUUCGAUACGGGUUGACUUGAGGAAGGUAGGGGAGAAUGGAAUUCCUGGUGGAGCGGUGGAAUGCGCAGAUAUCAGGAGGAACACCAGUGGCGAAGGCGGUUCUCUGGGCCUUUCCUGACGCUGAGGAGCGAAAGCGUGGGGAGCGAACAGGCUUAGAUACCCUGGUAGUCCACGCUGUAAACGGUGGGUACUAGGUGUGGGGUCCAUUCCACGGGUUCCGUGCCGUAGCUAACGCUUUAAGUACCCCGCCUGGGGAGUACGGCCGCAAGGCUAAAGCUCAAAGGAAUUGACGGGGCCCCGCACAAGCGGCGGAGCAUGCGGAUUAAUUCGAUGCAACGCGUAGAACCUUACCUGGGUUUGACAUGGAUCGGGAGUGCUCAGAGAUGGGUGUGCCUCUUUUGGGGUCGGUUCACAGGUGGUGCAUGGCUGUCGUCAGCUCGUGUCGUGAGAUGUUGGGUUAAGUCCCGCAACGAGCGCAACCCUUGUUCACUGUUGCCAGCACGUUAUGGUGGGGACUCAGUGGAGACCGCCGGGGUCAACUCGGAGGAAGGUGGGGAUGACGUCAAGUCAUCAUGCCCCUUAUGUCCAGGGCUUCACGCAUGCUACAAUGGCUGGUACAGAGAGUGGCGAGCCUGUGAGGGUGAGCGAAUCUCGGAAAGUCGGUCUCAGUUCGGAUUGGGGUCUGCAACUCGACCUCAUGAAGUCGGAGUCGCUAGUAAUCGCAGAUCAGCAACGCUGCGGUGAAUACGUUCCCGGGGCU